AUCUUCUCUUGUGAUACUGUGCAUUAAUGUAGACCAUAAAGCUGAUAGAACUUUCACAACUGCUGCUGCAAGUAUGGGAAUACUAGAUGCAGUUUCUCUUAAUGCAUCAAGUUUAUGUAUAACAGUAUGGCCAGGUCCAGUGAAAUUAUCAGCAGGCUGGUAGACAGCAACCACCUAGAGAAGUACUACCAUCCUACCAAAUGUGUGCAAUUUUAUUUCAAACUAAACAUACAGGAACUUCAAAACACAAUGUGGGUCAUCUGGGACAUUAAGAAAUGCAAGAAAUAAAUAGAUGCACCAAGCACGAACAUCACGAAUAUCUUGCAGGCUCUGACGAUUCACAACAUGAGAAAUAUUGACUCGUUUCCAGUCCACUGUUAAUAAUACCUUGUUUGCAGCUUCUCCUCCUAACAUCACUAUUCCUAAAAAAAUUAAACAUAACAUCUUAUUACAUACCUUCAAGAUUAUUCUUUUCUGAUUUGGAAAAAAGUUUUUUAUGCAGAAAUAAAAAAAAUAUUGAAAUAAGAGAUUUUUUAUAAGUGAAAUAGAACCAUUACUUGAACUUAGACUCAGCAAUAGCAAAUCCUAUUACCAAUGCAAUUAAUUUUUAUUAAAAAUUAAGAAAAAUAUUUGCUUUAUUACCAUAUGUCAUUUUAUGUGGAAUCCUUGCACCUGCUAUACAAUAUUAGGCAAUAAUAUUAAAGUGAAAUUAUCAAACUUACA